AGGUGAUAAAUGAAGGACUGGAAUGUGAAGUUAUGAGGAAAAGAUUAAAUGAUCUUCCCCCAGCAAAUUGAAGAUGGAGUUACAAUGCUUUCAGGAGUUGACUAGCAAAGGGAUAUAGCACUGAAUGGGCCAAUAAAUAUCACUUGUUUUCAAGGUAUGGGAGGUCAAACUCCUAAUCCCAAGAUUCUGCACCUGUAACAGAGAAGCUACUGUUGCUAAUUUGAAGCAUUCACCAGGGAAAGACAAUUAACUCAUUGACUGGAACAAGGGAAAUUUAAUAG